ACUCAAAGGAAUUGACGGGGGCCCGCACAAGCGGUGGAUCAUGUGGUUUAAUUCGAAGCAACGCGAAGAACCUUACCUGGGUUUGACAUCCCCGGACCGCCCUAGAAAUAGGGUUUUCGUAGCAAUACGACCGGGAGACAGGUGCUGCAUGGCUGUCGUCAGCUCGUGUGGUGACAUGUUGGGUUAAGUCCCGCAACGAGCGCAACCCUUGCCUUUAGUUGCCAGCUUUCAGUUGGGCACUCUAGAGGGACUGCCGUGGUUAACACGGAGGAAGGUGGGGAUGACGUCAAGUCCUCAUGGCCUUUAUAUCCAGGGCGACACACGUGAUACAAUGGUCGGUACAGAGGGAAGCGAAAGAGCGAUCUGGAGCCAAUCUCAAAAAACCGAUCUCAGUUCGGAUUGGAGUCUGCAACUCGACUCCAUGAAGGUGGAAUCGCUAGUAAUCGCGGAUCAGCACGCCGCGGUGAAUACGUUCCCGGGCCUUGCACACACCGCCCGU
rnacentral:rRNA from 1 species